AGUGACAACUGAUACUACAAUAAAGAAGCGGAAGAGGAGACAAAAAUCUAAUCGCCAUUACUGCUACCAUGGCCGAAGCUGCAACGAAGAAGUGGAAGGUUUUGUCUGAGGAAACGAAAAAAGAAAGAGGGAGAGCAACCGGACCAAGGCGCUAUCAAGGAUCAACAUUGGCUCGGCUUUCACUCGCUGGCGUGAGCUCAGAGACGAGGAGAGUUUUCCAACCUAUGCGGCCUUGGCGAUAUUCCUGUUGGACAACUAUCAGCAGAAGCAAGUAACUUCUACUCCACGCAAGCGGCACUUGCAAACCACUGCAGCCCAUUGUUUCCAGCUUGACAGAGUCUGACCAUAAUGGGUUCCACAGCUCACCAGGCUCUUGUAGCCAUUGUACUCUCCUACACUCCAGCAGUGUAUCGCAUCCGGACUGCCGAACUGCCACAACGGCCGCCCCCCAGCACAAAACAAAGAUGGACACAAGAUGUUUUUGGCAUAUCUAAGGACAAGUUCUGAGUAGAAUCUCAUAGAAAUUUAUGCUUCUCUCCAGAUACAGAAGACACUACAACAAGAAGUCAAAAUCCUGAAGUGUCUACGCUGUAAAGGAAAAGGAUUACUCUUACACCCCAGACCCUCAGAGACUCAUUCUUGGGAAGAGGCUGCGAAGUGGUGGUGGCCUUCCCAAAAAACGGACCCUUAGGCCAGAUGACCCCCGGAAUUUAGGGGUCCUGGCUUUCAGCCACCCCCAACUGCUGAACUCACGUGAAACGUGGCGAAGGUGUUCCCCCUAGU